GAUGAACGCUGGCGGCGUGCCUAAUACAUGCAAGUCGAGCGAACGGACGAGAAUCUUGCUUCUCUGAUGUUAGCGACGGGCGGGUGAUUAACACGUGGAUAACCUACCUAUAAGACUGGGAUAACGUCGGGAAGCCGGAUCUCAUACCCGAUAAUAUUUUGAACCGCAUGGUUCAAAAGUGAAAGAGGGUCUUGCGGUCACUUAUAGAGGGUUCCGCGCUGCAUUAGCUAGUUGGUAAGGUAACGGCUUACCAAGGCAACGAUGCAUAGCCGACCUGAGAGGAUGAUCGGCCACACUGGAACUGAGACACGGCCCAGACUCCUACGGGAGGCAGCAGUAGGGAAUUUUGCGCAAUGGGCGAAAGCCUGACGCAGCCACGCCGCGUGAGGGAUGAAGGCCUUCGGAUCGUAAAACUCUGUUAUUCGGGAAGAACAUAUGUGUAAGUAUCUCUCCACAUCAUGACGGUACCUAAUCAGAAAGCCACGGCUAACUACGUG
rnacentral:rRNA from 1 species